CAUUGCUGUGUUUGCCUAAAAGGCUGGAACUGCAGCAGCCAUUUUGUGACUAUGGGGCUGAGUACAAAGCAAGGUCAGCAGAGCAGUAAGAUGGAAGGAUCCUGGAUUCUUGGUGACUGGAGAGGACACCAAGCCAAGAACUGCACUGUAAGAAGUCUGGCUUUCCUAAGGCCAUCCUGCUGGAAAUAACACAUGAAGCUGAAGGCAGAUACCCAAGGUGUGCCCACUGUUAGAGUCUUCCCAGCCCAGUGCCAGAUGUAUAAAAGAAGAUGGCAUCCAGAUGACCUAGCAUGAGCCACUGACGCCAUCAGCUGAACUGUCUGGGACACCUGGAGCUUAGAAUGCCCUGCAGAGCAACUCCCAAAUUCAUGACUCACAGAAAUUGGGACAUAAUAAAUGAUUAUUAUUGCUUUAAGCCUCUA